CUGACCUCCAGACAAGCGGCACGCGACCCUCACGGUCCCGGGCGAGCCGCUCCUGUGCGCCGCCGCGGAGCUUCUCCAGCCGCGGCGCGUCGCUCUGGUGCAUCACGAACACCUUGAGCACGUUGAACAGUGCACCCGCCACCCACAUCACGCUCCCGCACAGGGUAAUCCACCUCUCGCUCUCGCCUGGCAGGGUGGGCUCACCGCGGCGGUGGAGGACGGCCGCGACGAGGAAGAGCAGG
rnacentral:lncRNA from 1 species